ACCGCUCCGCACAAGGCGACCGUACCGCGCUGCGUCCUGCAGCCACCCCCAGCGGCGGGGGCUUCGGUGCGGGCGCCCCGCGGGCCACCGGACUCUAUUUCUGACGCUCCGGAUGCCUUUCUGCCCCCUGGUUCGAGAACGCGUUGAACGCCCUUUGAUUCUGGCUAUCACGUGCACUGUUCUUUGCAGUAGUAAUUUUAAGGGAAACGGGAAACUGAGGCUCAGAGAUGGAGGACUAGUCUGAGGCCAUGCCAGUGCAGGGUGCUGAACUCAGAGGUCUGGAUCUGGGAUCCCUUAGCCUUUUUCUGCCUUCACCUCAGCACAGUGGCUGAGUUUCAAAGGGCAGUGUCCCAAGAGAGCCAAGCAGACACCAUAUCGCUGUUUUUGACUCAGCCUCAGAAGUCACAUGGCAUCACUUACCCCAGAGCACCAGUCCUUCCCGGAGUCAAAAGGAGGGAACCUCCCUGCUACCUGCAUUUCCAUCAUCCUCUCCUCGCAAGAAGAGCAAGUUUAGUGGGAGACGCUGUUGCUGCAGACCUUGGAAAAUUCAGUUCCCCCAAAGAAGUGGCAUGCAGGAAGCAACUUUAAAAUGAAUGGGCCAGGCCUUCCUCUUUCUUUCUUCUCCUGCUGGCUGGGAUGUGAACAUGAUGGCGGGAGCUACAGCAGUCACAUUGGACCAUGAAGUGAUCUUGGAAAUGGAAACUUCCAUAACAGACCUGGACUCCCUCCCUCCUGUACUGAGUAAACCACUGUAUUGGGACAUAGCAAGAAGACAAUCCACUCUGGACCAGGAAGCCAUCACCAGAUGCCGCAUCUGCUGGCACUUUGAUCUUGGACUUUGCAGCCU